CUGCUCAAUGAUUUUUUAAAUUGCUGUGGUAUUUUGACUAUACAAAGGUAUUGUAAUAAGGCUUUAAAUGGGUGCUAAGAGAAUGGUAGAACAGGGAUUUUCUUUCUUUGGUUUAAUUACUAGAAGUUGAUUUGUAAGUGAAAAAGCUUACUUGUCUAUUUGGGACAAGAAGACCCUAUGAAUUUUUAGAAGGAAUGUUUUUUAGCUGAAGUAUUAUAAAAAUUUUUAUAAGUAUUUUCUUUUUUAGUUGGGGUGAUUUUUAAAGAUUAAUGAUCUUUAAGAUUUUAGAAAGAUGAUCCAUUUUUAGUGAUUGUUUGAAUUAAAUACUCUAGGGAUAACAGCGUUAUAAUUUUGGAUAGUUCAUAUAGAUAAAAUUGAUUGCGACCUCGAUGUUGGAUUAGGAUUCUUAAGUAGUGAAGAGGCUACGUAUGAGGAAGUUUGCUCAACUUUUUAUAUCCUACUUGAUCUGAGUUCAGACCGG
rnacentral:rRNA from 1 species